UCCCACAUAUGCCAUAUUUUACUAGUAUCAACACCUAUCACAAUUUACAAGCAUAAUCCCAAAAUUUAUAAUUAAAUUUUUUUAAUUUAGUGAGUUUAGCAAUAGCACCUCCAUCUGCAAAAGGAAAAAGAAAGAAAAGUAAGGAAAAUUCUAUUGAUGACAUGGCAGCAACAGAUGCCAAGUGCAUCAAACGGCAUCGAAACAAACCGUAGAAGAGCCCAACCCCAAGAAAAACCCCAAAUCUCAUCUUUUUGAUCCAAAAACCUUAAAAGACAGUAAAAGGGGCAUCUAGGAUAAGAAUUUCAUGGCAAAUUUUGAUGCCAGAGCUCUCCUCAAAGACAAGAAGUUCUGGUUUGCUUCUUUCCUCAUUGCUUGGGCUGCUGCUCUCCAGGGGCAUAUGAUGUGGAUGCAAAGGCAGGACUCUUUCAAGCAAAAAUUUGGUACACUAAACGAAUUCAAUGAUGAUGAACAAGAAAACUUGUCCCAAAGUUGAGCCUGUUUCUUUUGAUCAAGAAUCAACAAAAUGGGGUUUUUUUUUUUCUUUUAAGUAGAGAGAAUAUGAAGUUCAAGAAGAUUUGGUAUGGUGGGCAUAUUCAAAUCUAUGAGGCAUCUCUGAUUCAAUGCUUGGCAGCUAGUUAGGUAAGUAUUGUCAACUGGUUCAGAUUUUCUUCUUGACAAAAACGUGAAGUCAUGAAUGAUAUCUAAAGAACAAUGGAUGAUGAAAACCGUGGACAUUCUUAUCUAGUUAUCUUUGCUGAUCUGGUGGCCUCUUAGUUCCUAUGCCACGUGCAUCUGAAUAUUGUGGAACCAGUACAAAGCUGCGCUUAGGAGUUGCAUGAAUGAAAGUGGUAAGGUCAGAAUCUAGUGCCAAAUCCUAAAAGAGAGAGAAAAAAUGGUUAGGCACUUUAUGUAAAUAUGUUUCGAGCAUUGGUUGCAUGCUACUAAUUAAAGCUGUAGCAGUGACAUAAGUGCCAGAAUGGAUGUCUACUUUUCCUUCUAGAUUACAAGAUGAGUGUCUUUGCUUACUUCUGUACUGAUAUGUAAUUUUCAAUCUUUUGGUGGAGAUUAUCACUGGUUUGGUGGAGAUUAUCUCAGGGUUUAUCGUUGUUGAGCUGAUGUGAUCGUUGAGAUUAAAAAUGAAAGCUGCUCUGAAAUUCCUUGGUGCAUAUUUAACAUGAAUUAUUCAAAAUGAAUGUCUUUCACAGUUUUCGGUUGGGGCAGCACCCAAUAGUAUCUGGAAAUCAAGAAACUAUUGCAUUUUUAACUAGCUAAAUGACAUGUUCUUUCCCUGUUUCAUAGCAGAGCAAUUUUCAGGAUGCCCUCGUUCCACCCAAAUCACUUCCUCAUCUCUAUUACUGCUUAACAUCAUAUUCUGAAGAGUUUGAGUACUGAGGAAUGCAUGCGCCAUGACCAGAUAGGGAAGAUGGUAUACCUUGGUGACGAGAUUAAGGCUUAUUUAGCUAUUGCUUUUGGACCUUAAACAUGCAGCUUACGUAUUCAGCAGCAGUCACAAAAG